rnacentral:rRNA from 1 species
CCUUUUCCUUAUUUGCCAGCGGGUUAAGCCGGGAACUUUAAGGAUACUGCCAGUGACAAACUGGAGGAAGGCGGGGACGACGUCAAGUCAUCAUGGCCCUUACGACCAGGGCUACACACGUGCUACAAUGGUCGGUACAAAGGGUUGCUACCUAGCGAUAUGAUGCUAAUCUCAAAAAGCCGAUCGUAGUCCGGAUUGGAGUCUGCAACUCGACUCCAUGAAGUCGGAAUCGCUAGUAAUCGCGGAUCGGAAUGCCGCGGUGAAUACGUUCCCGGGCCUUGUACACACCGCCCGUCACACCAUGGGAAUUUGUUGCACCAGAAGUAGGUAGUCUAACCGCAAGGAGGACGCUUACCACGGUGUGGCCGAUGACUGGGGUG